AUGCAGUCGAGCGAAUCUGAGGGAGCUUGCUCCCAAAGAUUAGCGGCGGACGGGUGAGUAACACGUGGGCAACCUGCCUGUAAGACUGGGAUAACUCCGGGAAACCGGGGCUAAUACCGGAUAAUAUCUAUUUAUACAUAUAAUUAGAUUGAAAGAUGGUUCUGCUAUCACUUACAGAUGGGCCCGCGGCGCAUUAGCUAGUUGGUGAGGUAACGGCUCACCAAGGCGACGAUGCGUAGCCGACCUGAGAGGGUGAUCGGCCACACUGGGACUGAGACACGGCCCAGACUCCUACGGGAGGCAGCAGUAGGGAAUCUUCCGCAAUGGACGAAAGUCUGACGGAGCAACGCCGCGUGAGUGAUGAAGGUUUUCGGAUCGUAAAACUCUGUUGUUAGGGAAGAACAAGUAUCGGAGUAACUGCCGGUACCUUGACGGUACCUAACCAGAAAGCCACGGCUAACUACGUGCCAGCAGCCGCGGUAAUACGUAGGUGGCAAGCGUUGUCCGGAAUUAUUGGGCGUAAAGCGCGCGCAGGCGGUUCCUUAAGUCUGAUGUGAAAGCCCACGGCUCAACCGUGGAGGGUCAUUGGAAACUGGGGAACUU
rnacentral:rRNA from 2 species